CCUACGGGCGGCAGCAGUGGGGAAUAUUGCACAAUGGGGGAAACCCUGAUGCAGCGACGCCGCGUGAAGGUAGGAGUAUUUCGGUAUGUAAACUUCUAUCAGCAGGGAAGAAAAUGACUGUACCUUACUAAGACGCCCCGGCUAACUACGUGCCAGCAGCCGCGGUAAUACGUAGGGGGCAAGCGUUAUCCGGCUUUACUGGGUGUAAAGGGAGCGUAGGCGGUUCAGCAAGUCAGAAGUGAAAGCCCGGGUCUCAACUCCUGGACUGCUUUUGAAACUGUUGAACUAGAUUGCAGGAGAGGUAAGUGGAAUGCCUAGUGUAGCGGUGAAAUGCGUAGAUAUUAGGAGGAACACCAGUGGCGAAGGCGGCUGACGGGACUGUAAAUGACGCUGAGGCUCGAAAGCGUGGGGAGCAAACAGGAUUAGAUACCCCAGUAGUC
rnacentral:rRNA from 1 species